CAUCAACAUCUUCAACACAGACUCUUCCCACAAUCGAUGUUUUCACCGGAAAAUCAAAUUCAGGCAGAUUCAGUGGCAUCUAUAUUCCAAACUCUUUCUCCACCUUGAUAAUCAGCUUGCAUGUCUUUAUCUGCCGUGAAUCCAUCAUAGUCGUUCUCCGUCGUUUCCGUCGCAAUAGUCGUAAACAACUUCCUUUCUCAUUUGGCUAUAUAUUCUUCUACUGUGUUUUAUCGCUUAUAUGGUUGACAUGCAUUAGCUAUUUGAAGUUUUCUCAUCAUGCUUUUUCUGGGUUUCUAUAGAAGUUUUGAUCACAAUAGCUUGUUGAUUUCACCAUGUGAAGUAAACUGAUGUCUUAGUUUUGCCAUUUUUUUUGCUAAGCUCUUUGUUUUGCCAUUUAUCUUUGCUCUCUGUUGAUUUUGUUGUUGUCGCUAUGCUCUUUUUUUUCGCUAAGCUCUUUGUUUUGCCAUUUGUCUUUGCUCUCUGUUUAUUUUGUUGUUGUUUGUUCAAAGUUUUGAAACUUUAAAAUGUUUGUUCUCAUAUGAUAUACUCGUUUGCCAGUUCCAAGCUUUAGCGGAUCACCUUUUCCGCAAUCCAGAUUACCAUAAACAAGUUAGGAAGCACAUUGUAAAGCAGGUAUGGACAAGGAACUUCCGAAACUGCUUUUCGAGCCUGGUUUUGUGAAUGAUAUUGACAAGAUCAAUAAUCGAUGCAUUCUUAACACAAUGGACCCCGUUAAGAAAGCACUUUCAGAAGAAUACAAAAGAGUUCUGCUAGACCCUGUCUUUGGACCUGUUUUGUCGAUUAUCGAGAACGACAUGGGAUUUUCAGGGCGACUAAUCCAUAGCUUUCUGUGUAAGGAGCUCAUCACUGACAAGAAACACAAGCUAUGGUUCGUGUUUGCGGGGAGACCUCUUCGAUUUUCUCUGCAAGAAUUUCAUGCGAUUACUGGACUGAACACGGAAGACGAUAAGACUUGUGAUUUCAGUGAUUGGGUUGAUGAUGGCGGGUUCUGGAGUAAGUUGUUGAGAAGCAAACGUGGAAUUACUUUGGCUAACAUAGAAACUGAGUAUCUUGGGUGUGUCAACAAAUGGAUGCGUGAAGACAGGUUGCGGUUAGUGUACUUGUAUGUUAUUGCUUCUCUGGUAAUGGCAAAGAGCAAGACCAUUAAUAUCCCAAAAGAAUAUAUCAUUCUUGUUAUGGAUCUGGAGAAGCUACGGAAGUACCCAUGGGGACGUGUAGCGUUUGAUUUUCUAGUGCAGAGUAUCAAGAAAGUUCGUGUGAAAUUGACGCAAUCUACAGGCUAUGCACUGAAUGGCUUCUCAAUAGCUUUUCAAAUCUGGAUCAUGGAGGCAAUUCCCGUUCUCGGAUAUAUGCUGUCUUCAAGAUUGGACGAUGUGAUCGCUGGUGUUGCUAGAUGCUUUAAGUGGAACGGCAUUAGCUAUGUGAAAAUUUCAGAUAUUAAGCAUAUCGAACAUACGUUUUGCACGAAGGAGAAGCUCUAUCACUAUAUCUCUUCCACUGGGAAUGAUGAUGUCGUUGAUUCUUUGGACUUUGUAUGGCCUAAUGAAAUGGCUGACGCAAGAGUGGAUCUUCUUAAAACAAUGAUCAAUGAUGGAAUAGAUUGGAGUCACCAUAAUUGGGCGGUAGAAGAAGCCAUACCUGCAACUCUUGACAAGAUUUAGAAAGCAACAGAUGAAGAGAAUGAGAAUGUCGCAGAAGAAAGCCAAUUCAGGACACCACCUGCUGUAGGUAGCUCAGUUGCAGGUUUGAGUCGAGGAAAGAAAAGGGUCGCUGAACCUGGUGCAGAAACACGGAAGCAGAAGAUGAUGUGCGAGCGAUCAGCUGCGAAAGCCAUCGAUGAGGACUUUAAGUCUUUUAUCCAAGGACUUUUGCAGACCUCGUUAAAAGCUUUGGAGGAGAGACUUCAGAUGAAGAUUGAUAGUCGAGUAGAGCUAUUGGAGAAGAAAAUGGAAAACAUAGUGGAGAUGCUUGAGUCGAAGAUUAUCGAACCCAUCCAAGCAGGUGGAUUCACUACUGCUACUCUCACCGCAGCAAAAUCACUAUCUGGCACAGCCGGUGACGUUCCUUUACCGGCAAAAACAUCUACCAAUGAUGUUCCCAUAUUUGCAGCAAAAUCACUAUAUGGCACAGCCGUUGACGUUCCUUUACCGGCAAAAACAUAUACCAAUGAUGUUCCCAUCUUUGCAGCAAAAUCACUAUCUGGCACAGCUGGUGACAUUUCUUUACCGGCAAAAACAUCUACCAGUGUCAUCCCUUUAGCUGCUAAAGCGUCAACAAUUGCCGCCUCCAAAUCCAUAACAAGGUCAGCAGGUGCUAUUCUAAGCAUUGGGGAGACUUCGCACCCUUCCAAAAAGGUAAGGAAGUGCAGAAAUACUAAGACCUGAUGCCCUAGAAUCAAAAAUAAUGUCUUUUUUUUAGGCU